UACGAAGGGGGGCUAGCGUUGCUCGGAAUUACUGGGCGUAAAGGGCGCGUAGGCGGACAGUUUAGUCAGAGGUGAAAGCCCAGGGCUCAACCCUGGAAUUGCCUUUGAUACUGGCUGUCUUGAGUACGGGAGAGGUGUGUGGAACUCCGAGUGUAGAGGUGAAAUUCGUAGAUAUUCGGAAGAACACCAGUGGCGAAGGCGACACACUGGCCCGUUACUGACGCUGAGGCGCGAAAGCGUGGGGAGCAAACAGG
rnacentral:rRNA from 1 species